AUAAAGCUUUUGUCGUGUUAAAAAAAAAAUCCUCUCUCUCUCAUAGGAAUUAAUUCCAGGAAACCUGAAAUAAUUCCAGGUGAACAAAUUCCCAGACUUGUUCCAAGUCUAGGGAAACAGCUUCAAACCCAGAGACAAAAGAUUAGCCAGCGCCUCAGCCAGAUGUCAGCAUAAUCAAAAUGGACUGUCACCUGAUUAAGUGGUCACUCUUUGGCAGUAAAAAGGGUCUGAGCGAGAAAUUUACAUGUUGGCAAAGAAAUAGCUGGAAGUUCCCAUCUCCCAGACCUGCUGUUUCCUGAAGCCCAACUGGAAAUGAUUCUUAAAGAGGAGGAAAAGGUAUAAAGAUGAAGAACAGAGAAUACAAAUCACCUUUCUCCCCGCAUCUCUACUCACGGCAUCAACACUUGAAAGACAAAGGAAGCAUCAUUGAGCUCGUGGAGGUGUCUGGCUCAGAGGAAUCCAACCAGACUGCUGUAAUCAUGUGACAUGACAGAAUCUUUGACCAACUGCUACCAAAAUCCACUUGUUUCUUUUUGUGGAAGGAGGCAAUCUGUACGAGAGACAAUGCGCAAGACGUCUGGUUUCUCUAUUGGAAGAGGCCAAUGUAAAGGAGGCAACAACUUUCAGAUAAAUGCUACAAGACUAUGGAGUCGGUUCUCCCUUUUGCACGUGUACCUAAGUCCCAUCAGUCUCAACAUAAAUUCUGCAUGAAGGGGAGAACAAACAUCAAAAGUUUUUAAACAGUCCAAGG